GUAUCGGUGACGGUGCCUCGGAAGGCAGUAGCUCUGCUGAGGCAGGGUACCGCGAAAGUACGGGGUGACGAACAGAAAUCGAGUCAGGCGUGCAUGAGUGGGACGAGCCUGCAACACAAGGUAAAGUCCUCUAUCCAUUAUAAGCUCUGCCCGUAUACUCGGCAUCCACGUACUGAAAGACAUGUGU
rfam:Desulfobacterales bacterium PC51MH44 PC51MH44_contig000199, whole genome shotgun sequence.